UAGGGAAUCUUCGGCAAUGGGGGCAACCCUGACCGAGCAACGCCGCGUGAGUGAAGAAGGUUUUCGGAUCGUAAAGCUCUGUUGUAAGUCAAGAACGGGUGUGAGAGUGGAAAGUUCACACUGUGACGGUAGCUUACCAGAAAGGGACGGCUAACUACGUGCCAGCAGCCGCGGUAAUACGUAGGUCCCGAGCGUUGUCCGGAUUUAUUGGGCGUAAAGCGAGCGCAGGCGGUUUGAUAAGUCUGAAGUUAAAGGCUGUGGCUCAACCAUAGUUCGCUUUGGAAACUGUCAAACUUGAGUGCAGAAGGGGAGGGUGGAAUUCCAUGUGUAGCGGUGAAAUGUGUAGAUAUAUGGAGGAACACCGGUGGCGAAAGCGGCUCUCUGGUCUGUAACUGACGCUGAGGCUCGAAAGCGUGGGGAGCGAACAGG
rnacentral:rRNA from 1 species